AGUUCUAUCGUCUAUCAUCAUUUCAUCAUUUCCAUCCUAAAACCUCGGUGUCGCAUGCCUCCAUACGUCAUCUGAAGCCGAUCUUAUUGAUAUACAUCGUGAAUGACUAAUGGAAUGGAGAGUUUUAUAUCUGCGACAAACCACCCACUACGACCAUACCAGAGGCUCAACAGCUGAAAAGGUUUGACGACGCUCCAAUUAUGAUUACAAAGACAGGCCUCUUCCCAGAAUGAAAUGCCAGUGGAGACUUAAAAUGUUAAUGCGAUAUGGGUCUUUGUUUGGGUUGUCGCGCCCGACGAGCUUUAGGCAGAGCGGUCAUCAAGCCUACGACUCACUCACAGCAUAGCAGUAUAAGAUUCACUACGACGAGAUUGGUUGUCAGUGUGUAUCAAAGACAGAUUUGACUAUAAGGUCUGUUGGUAAUUUGACCCACCAUCAAUCAAGGAAACAACAAAAUCCACAGAUAUAAAACGCAAUCCACACCGCAUAAGCAAUCACAUAUUGGAUAAAACCAUACAUCGUGCAGCUCAUAUCUGGUGAGGUUACGUUUAAAACCCUUUGGAUUCUUCCUUCGGGAUUCUUAAAGAUGAAAGACACAGUUUGGAUCUUUCUUGUUUUUUGUUUUGUUGUGGAGCGAAUAGGCUCGUUAUCUAUUCCAACUGAUAUUCAUACAUACUGUAAAGAAGACACAUGCCCACACUUCAAGCUUGUGAAGCGUAUAGGAAAAUUGGAGCUACGAUGUUACAAGCCGUCUAUUUGGGUGUCAGUUUCUGGACGAGGAAAGCUGUUUGUUGAUGAUCACAAUCUUCCAGUUUGGAAACUCCACCAGUUCUUUGAUGGCAACAAUACAAAGAGAGCAAAAGUGCCGAGGGGUCCACUCACAAGUCAUGUCUUCGAUGAAUCAAGGCAAACAUACAGUGCGGAAUAUUACAUUCCAAACUAUUUUUGGAAGAAUGUGCCCAGAGAGGUAGAUCCCUCCGUGAGAGUCAUCUACAGGCCGUCAUUUUGCACCUUGGUGUACGGAUUCCAGGGGUGGAUGCAUAGUUAUGAGAGCAUGUCAUACUGCAGAUCUGAAGCGAAACGACUCAUUAACAUGCACGCUAACAAAAACUUGUAUUACCCACAGUUUUUCUUCUAUGUAAAUUAUAAAUCUAAAUCCCCUGUCGUUCCAGAAUAUAACGAGAUCUGGUAUAUUAUCAAGUUUUCGGCAGCUGAAUCGCUGGCAAACUUCUGAAGUGACGCGUGUAUUUACACAUACAAAAGCAAAUGCAACAAUAUGAAUUUUAAUCGGGGAAAAUAAACCAACAAUGUGACAAGGAUGUUGUGCCGUAGUUCCACGAGGCAAUUUACUGUUUGUCGAGAACUUCCUUUGCGAGUAGCUCGCUGGCCUACAUAAACUAAAGGACCAAAGCUACAUUCGCGGCGCUGCCUGACUCUGUGUACCGCCUUAGGAAGAAAUUACUCUCACGUUUUCAUAUUCUGUGGUUUUUCACUUCUACAUUGAUUUACAUUGUAGGAAUGUGCUUCCCUUAACCAAUUAAGUAAAGGAACCCAAAGUCGAAAUUAAGCUAUAUCGAGCAGACAGAAGAAUCUUGCUGCUUCAACCUCAACCCUUGUAGCCCGUGGAACCAAGUAUUUAACUUGUAAAGUAUAUGUAGUGAAGUAUUUAAUAGGACACAAAGCAUGAAUUUGCAACAACAUUUUUAUAGUGAUAGCACCUUUUCGAUAUUUUUGGGUAGAUCUAUACACAAACAAAUAUUUUUUUACUCUGA